GCACUGGUUUACUGGCUAGCAAGGUCUGUACAGGCUAAUAUGUUGGCAGCUGGCCUUGGUGCGUCGAAUCUUGUGUUGUAUGCAUUUGUAUACACACCACUAAAGCAGAUACAUCCAAUUAAUACAUGGGUCGGCGCAAUUGUUGGAGCUAUUCCUCCCCUGCUUGGGUGGGCUGCAGCUUCUGGUCAGGUGUCUCUCAAUGGAAUGCUCCUCCCAGCUGCUCUGUAUUUUUGGCAAAUACCUCAUUUCAUGGCCUUAGCCUACUUGUGUCGUAAAGAUUAUGCUGACGGAGGGUUCAGAAUGUACUCUCUUGCUGAUGCUUCUGGUCAGAGGACUGCCUCUGUAGCCUUCAGAAACUGCCUAUAUCUACUGCCAUUGGGUUACCUAGCCUAUGAUUGGAGUUUAACAUCUGGGUGGUUUUGCCUGGAAUCGACACUUCUUGCUCUGGCAAUCAGCGGUACAGCAAUAUCAUUCUACUUGAACCGUACAACCAAAGAUGCUAGGAGAAUGUUCCAUGCCAGCCUUCUGUAUCUUCCUGUAUUUAUGUCU
rnacentral:misc_RNA from 1 species